GACGAACGCUGGCGGCGUGCUUAACACAUGCAAGUCGAACGGUGAAGGAGAGCUUGCUCUCCGGAUCAGUGGCGAACGGGUGAGUAACACGUGGGCAACCUGCCCCAGACUUCGGGAUAACGCUUCGAAAGAGGUGCUAAUACCGGAUACGAACUCCUUGGGCAUCCUUGGAGUUGGAAAGUUUUUCGGUCUGGGAUGGGCCCGCGGCCUAUCAGCUUGUUGGUGAGGUAACGGCUCACCAAGGCGACGACGGGUAGCCGGCCUGAGAGGGCGACCGGCCACACUGGGACUGAGACACGGCCCAGACUCCUACGGGAGGCAGCAGUGGGGAAUAUUGCGCAAUGGGCGAAAGCCUGACGCAGCAACGCCGCGUGAGGGAUGACGGCCUUCGGGUUGUAAACCUCUUUCAGCAGGGAAGAAGCGAAAGUGACGGUACCUGCAGAAGAAGCACCGGCUAACUACGUGCCAGCAGCCGCCGCCGUAA
rnacentral:rRNA from 1 species